UGGUUCUGAUCCAGAUCUUAUCUCCAUAGGUGAGGAGCAGAACGUAGUUGGAGCGGUAAAUAGGGAGCUCAGCUCUUCCUUCACCACUACAGACCGGAUCAGCGGCAGCAUCACUGCAGAAGAAUCUCUGAUCCGUCUGUCCAUCCCUGCUGACACUGAAACUCCUCCGCUUCAGGCAGCUUUUUAAGAUCACUUUAAAUCUAGAAUCUCAUGUCAUCAUGGUUGAUAUUUUAUUGAUUGUCUGACAAAAGCCUGCAUGGUUUUCCUGAAUGUGUGUAGAUUUAUUAUCAUGAAGAGCCAAAAAGGAACCGAGCUGAUGUGUCGGCUGAUGCUGCUCUGGUUCUGAUAAACAUUUAAAUAUUUAAUAGUCACCGCAGGAGGCGGCAGCAUAAUAAUCAGAACGUUUCAGAAAAACUGUAAAAAUGAGGACAAUUAUUCUGAUGAAUGAUCCAGUUAAGAAAUAAAAAUAAAUAAUGGGGUAAUCUGCCCAGAUCAUUGAUGUUAAAGAUCUGUACCAGUUAAACUGUUAUUUUUUUCAGUUUUCAUUUCCAAAUAUGACCUUCCAAAGUAUUAAACUACAUCCAUCACUGUUUGCUGAUUUCUGGAGAUGUUUUAACGCCGUUCCAAACUAAAACUUUUAUUUACUUUGAUACAAAACUCAUGCAUUUUGCUCUUAUGAUUAAAUCAGGGUUUCUUUUUAAAUAUCGGUGUUUAAAAUAUAAAUGUCUCUGAAUUGAUUCACUUCAUGUCAUGAUGCCUGCAACAUUUUCCAGCUCCUGUCUUUGUCUCCUUUGUUCCUCUGAGUGCUGCAGUGCCCCCCCUGACCACUAGAGGGGGGUGGUCAGCUGCGCUCAGCUCUUCUAACUGGAUUUCUCUUUGUUGUAAAAGAUGUUUGCCUGAAAAACAUGGAUGAGCGCAUGGCGUUGGUCACAGAAGUGGAAUUAUUGUUUUUUUCUCAGUAGAUUCAACCAAAGCCUGUUUGUUUCUGCAGAUUUCUGUUAAAAUGCUGAUUAAGUGACAAACAGGCUGCUUUACAUGGACACGACAGUGUGCACAACCAAAGAAAUUGACUUUAGUUACAGAUGUUAGGUAUAAACAGUGGAAAUAUUGGAGGUGUCAUAGUGGAGAAGAGUCCUCAUCCAUGAGCUGCGAGGAUUUGUACCGAUUCACAGAACAAACUUAGAUCCUCUGGCUUUACCUUUCACAGGUAUUUCCUUGUUCAGACGAUCAGUUGUGGAUCAGCUCCUGUGUUUGGGGUCGAUGUUCUGUUGAUGACCCACUUUGGACCAAUCUUCAGCUGCUGGUCAUCACACAGGCAGGAUGACGAAAAGCGAGAGAAAAGCUUCCCUGAAGCCUCCUUGAUGGAAAGUUGAGUCUAUCUGGCCAAGACUUUUCUCAGUAAUAUCGUUUUAAUGGGCUUAAUGUAAGUUAUGACAGUCUGAGCCACGCCGUUAUUAAGCCACUGGUUCUUCAUCUCUGGAAGAGAAGCACCUGUCAGGCUUCGUUUGCCAUUAAAAGCCUUAAUAAUCUCUGCCUCCUUCCAUGCACACACACACUCUGCAGCCACAGCGGCGUGGGGAGAUGGAAAGGAGUGGACAGGAGCUUUCUCAUCUCUGAAAGCAGCAGAGAUGGAGACGGUAAAGGAACUCUGGAGUCCUAAUGAGGUUGCUUAGAUGGAGUAUCGUCAUUGGCCCUGGAGGGCAGCUGCCUCGGUUAGACAUGCAGACCCUGGGAAUCCCAGGUGGGCUCUAAGUCAUCCUGUAACUGGGUCCUAAGGUUGAUGGGAUGUUAGCCGACACGUCUUCAGCGUGUUUAAUGGCCGUAACGCUCAUUAAAAGCUUUCAGCGUCUGUAAAUCCAAUAUCAAAAGAUGAAUUAUCUCAAAUUGGCUGCCAGAAACAACUUAUUUUUGAUGUGACAUUGACUCCUCCGUGUUUUUAAAAUUUGCUCUUUUUUUAGCUUCAAGGUCUGUGAAAAACACAAAUAUCCAAC